rnacentral:rRNA from 1 species
GAAAUAUUAAAAGAAUUAAGGCAUUAAAAGGAUGAAAAAUUUGAAAAAAUAAAGAAAGAAUGCGAUCAAAAAUAUGAUUUCAAUCUGUUAAACGACGAUGAUCAUAUGGACAUAGCAGGGCAUGGAUAGCGGCCUGAAUAAAGCCCAAACUGCAUAUAUUGAUAUUGCUAUCAAUUAUUCGGGCGCGGAGGACCUAUACCCGACCCGAAUAUUGAUAGAAAUUUUAAAAAUAGAUAUUUUAAAUAUUGAUAAGGUAUUAUCAUCAAUCAUAUGGGCAGGGAAGACACCCUGUAAAAAAAUAAAAAUAAAUGAAUAAGCAAUGUUGAAUAUUUAAGCAGCCUUGGCAUGUAUGUACGCAUAUACUGGCACAAGGAUUCCUGAAGGAGAAGCAAUCUAUCUGAAGGCAUGAAGAUUUGCAUUGCUGAAAAGCGAAGAUGAAAAGAAGAGCCAGCCAAUUAUUCACCGAGAGACAAUGCCCACAUGAAAAAAGCAAUGACUUGAAAGAUUCCUGAAGAUUGAAGUUUGUCGGGGCACAAUCUCUCCCCUAUAAAAGGAGGCGUUUGCUGCGAAGAGAGACACCAGAUGGAGAAGAACCACCAGCCACCGAUAGAGCAAAGAGAUGCGACCCAGCUAGCAAGCUCGUUGCUCAGUAGUAGUAGUACUAAUAGUAGUAGUUCCUCAUCCUGCAAUAAGAGUCACAAUAUCUAGAGCAUUGUAAGGCUCAAGAAGGUAGUUAGAAGGUAAUUUUCUUUAGCUUGUGUAAUCCCUUCGGGGCCUCCCGAAAGGGAAAUCCAUA